rnacentral:rRNA from 1 species
GGACUACUAGGGUAUCUAAUCCCGUUCGCUCCCCUCGCUUUCGCACCUGAGCGUCAGGGGCCAGCCAGGACACUGCCUUCGCUUUCGGUAUUCCUCCGGAUAUCUACGCAUUUCACCACUCCACCCGGAAUUCUGUGUCCCUCUCUGGUCCUCAAGUGCGGCCGUCUUCGCGGUCCUCGCUCAGUUAAGCCGAGCGCUGUCACCCCAAACGCGCCGCACCGCCUGCGUGCCCUUUACGCCCAGUAACUCCGGACAACGCUUGCCCCCUACGUAUUACCGCGGCGGCUGGCAC